UUAGGAGUAUAUUUGAUGACAUUUCUAGCCCCGGACUUGGAUCAACACCUUUAACUUCAAGAAGACGAAGAUUUCAGUAAUGCAGAGUCCUCUUGUUGGAGUUACAACUCCUGUAACCGGGCAAAGUAUGUUUAGUCUGGCAAAUAUUGGUCAAGCACAAAAGAUGACACUAUGUCUUGCCCAGCUGGAUCCUUUUUAUACUCAAGGAGAUUCUCUGUUUUCAGAAGAUCACCUUGAUGACACUUGGGUGACUGUGUUUGGGUUUCCACAAGCAUCUGCUUCUUAUAUAUUACUACAAUUUGUACAGUAUGGAAAUAUCUUAAAGCACAUGAUGUCUAGCACAGGCAAUUGGAUGCAUAUUCGUUAUCAAUCUAAAUUGCAAGGCUGGAAAACCUUAAGCAAAGAUGGGAGAAUAUUUGGAGAAUCCAUCAUGAUCGAUGUCAAGCCAUGUAUAGAUAAACCUUUACACCACCAAUGAAGACCUUAGGCACACCACAACCUGGAAGUACUCCUAGGAUUUCUACCAUGAGGCCUCUUGCUACCACAUACAAAGCUUCUACUAAUGACUACCAGGUUAUUUCUGACAGACAAAUGCCAAAAAAGGCCAAAGUCUCAUGUCAAGAAUGAUGGAGUACAUGUUUGGCUGGUAGUGUAAUAAGAGCUUAGAACUCUGCUACCAAGGAAGACCUUGCUACACUAAACUGGAGUUAGUGGAGUGCUGCCA